GCAACACAUGGUGUUUUAAGAGGAUACUUGAAACACUUGAACUCACUGCAAUAGCAACAGGAGGUGGCCAUGAAAUGAUUACAGUCAUACAGUAUGUAUUAUAGUUAAUAUAUACAGUCAUCCCUCAGUAUCCUUUGAGGACUGGUUCUAGAACCCCUGAGGAUACCAAAAUCCACAGAUGCUCAAGUCCCUUAUAUAAAAUAGCAUACAUAAAUAAAUAAAAUAGCAUAUACAGUAUUUGCAUAUACCUACACACAUCCUCCUGUAUACCUUAUACCAUCUCUAGAUUUCUUAUAAUACCUAAUACAAUGUAAAUGAUAUGCAAGUAGUUGUUGUACUGUAUGGGUUUUUAAAUUUGUAUUAUUUUUUCCCACAAAUAUUUUCGAUCCACAGUUGGUUGAAUCCCAGAGGAUACAGAGGGCUAACUAUAGCUGCAUUGUUUUUUAAACACUAAUCUCUGCAAGAUGAUAAAAAAAAAAAUGUUUUUCCCUCCAUACAUACACUGCUGGAGAAACUCUUUCCCUUUCAUUUGAACUAGUGGAGAGGAGCAGUGGAGUCCAUCCACAGGAUAAACUGUUUCAGUUUUGUUUGAACUACGGGGAAGCGUUGACUGGAAGUAUCCAAAUGGGAUCACCACUCAGAUUUCAUAAAUAAAACCAAGAAAAAUAGCUAGUCAGAUUUGUAAAAGCCUUCAUAUUAUCAAUGUACUUGCCAUAGUUAUAAACAUGCAGUUACAUGUAUACACACAGAGAAAUGGA
rnacentral:lncRNA from 1 species